AGUCGAACGGCAGCACAGGAGAGCUUGCUCUCUGGGUGGCGAGUGGCGGANGGGUGAGGAAUACAUCGGAAUCUACUCUGUCGUGGGGGAUAACGUAGGGAAACUUACGCUAAUACCGCAUACGACCUACGGGUGAAAGCAGGGGAUCUUCGGGCCUUGCGCGAUUGAAUGAGCCGAUGUCGGAUUAGCUAGUUGGCGGGGUAAAGGCCCACCAAGGCGACGAUCCGUAGCUGGUCUGAGAGGAUGAUCAGCCACACUGGAACUGAGACACGGUCCAGACUCCUACGGGAGGCAGCAGUGGGGAAUAUUGGACAAUGGGCGCAAGCCUGAUCCAGCCAUACCGCGUGGGUGAAGAAGGCCUUCGGGUUGUAAAGCCCUUUUGUUGGGAAAGAAAUCCAGCUGGCUAAUACCCGGUUGGGAUGACGGUACCCANAGAAUAAGCACCGGCUAACUUCGUGCCNGCAGCCGCGGUAAUACGAANGGUGCAAGCGUUACUCGGANUUACUGGGCNUAAAGCGUGCGUAGGUGGUCGUUUAAGUCCGUUGUGAAAGCCCUGGGCUCAACCUGGGAACUGCAGUGGAUACUGGGCGACUAGAGUGUG
rnacentral:rRNA from 1 species